CUUUCAGACCAUGAGCUAGCAGGAUGAGGCCUUGCAGUUUGUUCAUGGAUGUCUCUCAGAACAAGACAGGGACAUUUAACCUACAUGAGAGAUCAACCAGUAAAUCCAGAGUUCUGGGUGGAAUCGAUACAGGCAAACAGCAAUGAGAGGCUGAGGGUGUCUUUGCUGGUCCCACAAAACAUGUAGAGAUGUGGACAAGGAAUUGGGAUUGCAGGACCUGGCAGUUUUCUGGAGCACUGGAGGAUUCCACAGGAGCUGCCCCCAGAUGCCUUCUGCAUUGCCUGGACCUGGUGCUUCCAGCUGUCAGCUCUGGAGCUGAUAUAGCAGCCCUGUGUUUGAGCAGCUGCAGCCCCGGGAAAGUUGUCUUACAGAGUGAAAGGACACCCAGGCUUCUGGCAGAACUGCCAGGUGGCCUCACAGGAGCUACUGUGGGAAUGUUUGGUAACAGAAUGAGGACACAAGCAAUAGCAGAAAAGGAAAGAUCACGUCAUCUUUGGCAUUCUUGGUCCUUGCUUCUAUUCCAGGGAGACCAAAGUUUAGGACACAAUCACAGGAUGAGUUCAGAGUGUUCAUUUCAUCAAGCCAUGAUAAUUGACAGGGUUGAUAAACUAAUACCUACGUGGACAUAGGACAUCAGUUCUGGGAACAGCUGUUUGUGACUCCUGUUUUCCUGGAAGGGCUUUCACCAGAUAUGCUGCAUUUCAAGAGUGCCUUCAGGCUCUGACAGAUGUGCCUGGCCGACCUGCGGUGGCGUCCCCCUGGUGCCUGCUGGGGCAGGGGUGGGAAGGAGCUGGCAGAGGGCAAGCAGAGCAGUCUGGCCACGCAUCUCCUGCUGCCGCUCUGGCUUUUCAGGGUGGUAGGAGCAGCUAGUGGAGGGGAAGCCACGAGGCAUAUGACUGCCUCUGGUUGUUUCCCUCUCUUUUUGCUCUCCUCAGUGCCUGGAGUCAGAAACUCAAAUGGGAAUGUUUUUCUGUUUUAAGAAGUACAUGUAUGUUUGUUUUCUGUGCUCUUCUGCUGUCUGCAGCUGGGCUUCUGGCACGUAUGUAAAGAUAGCAUAAAUCUAAGAGCUGAUCACAUGUAAUGAUUAUUAUCCGGUGCCACUUCUGAGGUAUCCUGGAAGCAUAUCCCAUCACACAGUCAUCUUUUUCCUGUGCUUCAGUGUUAUUAGCAGAGAUAGCCCAUGUUAUCUAGGUUACAUGUAUCAAAACAUACCAAGUUAAAACUAGGCUUUUAAACUAGUUUUAGCAGAACCAAUUUUACAUUCCCUGUAACUGGCUUCUUUUAUACCACGUGUCUUACCACAUGUAAGCCAUGUGUCUUACUGACAGUGACACGAUGAAAUGCAUGUAACCUUUUUUUCAACAAUGUCAACAGAUAAAUGAUUAAGGUAAAUACAGCCAAGCUGUUACAUGAAGAUUUUCAUGACAACUGCAUUUCUUGUACUUUGUAUCAAUAAAAACUAGUAUUCAUAACUUAGUCUAUUAAAA
rnacentral:lncRNA from 1 species